GAUGAACUCUGGCGGCGUGCCUAAUACAUGCAAGUCGAGCGAACGGACGAGAAGCUUGCUUCUCUGAUGUUAGCGGCGGACGGGUGAGUAACACGUGGAUAACCUACCUAUAAGACUGGGAUAACUUCGGGAAACCGUAGCUAAUACCGGAUAAUAUUUUGAACCGCAUGGUUCAAAAGUGAAAGACGGUCUUGCUGUCACUUAUAGAUGGAUCCGCGCUGCAUUAGCUAGUUGGUAAGGUAACGGCUUACCAAGGCAACGAUGCAUAGCCGACCUGAGAGGGUGAUCGGCCACACUGGAACUGAGACACGGUCCAGACUCCUACGGGAGGCAGCAGUAGGGAAUCUUCCGCAAUGGGCGAAAGCCUGACGGAGCAACGCCGCGUGAGUGAUGAAGGUCUUCGGAUCGUAAAACUCUGUUAUUAGGGAAGAACAUAUGUGUAAGUAACUGUGCACAUCUUGGCGGUACCUAAUCAGAAAGCCACGGCUAACUACGUG
rnacentral:rRNA from 1 species